UACGAAGGGGGCUAGCGUUGCUCGGAAUACUGGGCGUAAAGCGUGCGCAGGCGGUUUCACAAGCUCGAUGUGAAAGCCCCGGGCUUAACCUGGGAAUGGCAUUGAGGACUGUGGAGCUCGAGUGCGGCAGAGGGAGGUGGAAUUCCACGUGUAGCAGUGAAAUGCGUAGAGAUGUGGAGGAACACCGAUGGCGAAGGCAGCCUCCUGGGCCGACACUGACGCUCAUGCACGAAAGCGUGGGGAGCAAACAGGA
rnacentral:rRNA from 1 species